rnacentral:rRNA from 1 species
CCUACGGGAGGCAGCAGUGGGGGAUAUUGCACAAUGGGGGGAACCCUGAUGCAGCGACGCCGCGUGGGUGAAGAAGCGCCUCGGCGCGUAAAGCCCUGUCAGCAGGGAAGAAAAUGACGGUACCUGAAGAAGAAGCCCAGGCUAACUACGUGCCAGCAGCCGCGGUAAUACGUAGGGGGCAAGCGUUAUCCGGAUUUACUGGGCGUUAAGGGGGCGCAGACGGCGAUGCAAGCCAGGAGUGAAAGCCCGGGGCCCAACCCCGGGACUGCUCGUGGAACCGCGUGGCUGGAGGGCAGGAGGGGCAGGCGGAAUACCUGGUGUAGCGGUGAAAUGCGUAGAUAUCAGGAGGAACACCGGUGGCGAAGGCGGCCUGCUGGACUGCAACUGACGUUGAGGCCCGAAAGCGUGGGGAGCAAACAGGAUUAGAUACCCGAGUAGUC